GCCAGGCACGGUGGCUCAUGCCUGUAAUCCCAGCACCUUGGGAGGCUGAGGCGGGUGGAUCACCUGAGGUCAGGAGUUUGAGACCAGCCUGGCCAACAUGGUGAAACCCCGUCUCUG
rnacentral:SRP_RNA from 1 species